rnacentral:rRNA from 1 species
AUGAACGCUGGCGGCGUGCCUAAUACAUGCAAGUCGAGCGAACAGACGAGGAGCUUGCUCCUCUGACGUUAGCGGCGGACGGGUAAGUAACACGUGGAUAACCUACCUAUAAGACUGGGAUAACUUCGGGAAACCGGAGCUAAUACCGGAUAAUAUAUUGCACCGCAUGGUUCAAUAGUGAAAGACGGUUUUGCUGUCACUUAUAGAUGGAUCCGCGCCGCAUUAGCUAGUUGGUAAGGUAACGGCUUACCAAGGCAACGAUGCGUAGCCGACCUGAGAGGGUGAUCGGCCACACUGGAACUGAGACACGGUCCAGACUCCUACGGGAGGCAGCAGUAGGGAAUCUUCCGCAAUGGGCGAAAGCCUGACGGAGCAACGCCGCGUGAGUGAUGAAGGUCUUCGGAUCGUAAAACUCUGUUAUUAGGGAAGAACAAAUGUGUAAGUAACUAUGCACGUCUUGACGGUACCUAAUCAGAAAGCCACGGCUAACUACGUG